rnacentral:rRNA from 1 species
GACGAACGCUGGCGGCGUGCUUAACACAUGCAAGUCGAACGGAAAGGCCCCCUUGUGGGGUACUCGAGUGGCGAACGGGUGAGUAACACGUGAGUAACCUACCCUUGACUUUGGGAUACUUCAGGAAACUUGGGCUAAUACCGGAUAGGAGCUCCUGCUGCCUGGUGGGGGUUGGAAAGUUUCGGCGGUUGGGGAUGGACUCGCGGCUUAUCAGCUUGUUGGUGGGGUAGUGGCUCACCAAGGCUUUGACGGGUAGCCGGCCUGAGAGGGUGACCGGCCACAUUGGGACUGAGAUACGGCCCAGACUCCUACGGGAGGCAGCAGUGGGGAAUAUUGCACAAUGGGCGGAAGCCUGAUGCAGCAACGCCGCGUGCGGGAUGACGGCCUUCGGGUUGUAAACCGCUUUCGCCUGUGACGAAGCGUGAGUGACGGUAAUGGGUAAAGAAGCACCGGCUAACUACGUG